rnacentral:lncRNA from 1 species
GAAUAGCAUCUCGGAAAGUUUUUGUAAGGAUCCCAUGACAUUUAUCACAAGAAGCACUAAACACAGUGUCUUGCAGACAAUGACCUUGAGGUCCAUAGAGUCAUUAUUAUUGCCACUUAAUCAUCCUGAUAGCCAGUCUCUGAAACCAAGCUUUAAGUCAAAUGACAGUGAUGGAUAUUAAAACAUAAUGUCCCAAGUGAGUUCCAAGAGGCACGUCACCUACGCUGCAGGAGAUACUUCCACUGGAAACUAUACUUCACUCAUCCUGUCUUUUGCUUUUCCAGUGGGACAUUUCUGCUGAGUUCUCAGUAGCAGAAAACCAAAGGGAUACAGGUUGAUAUUUGUAUUUGUGCCCAGCUGCUUUGACCUGCUUACUCUAAGAAUUAGAGGGAUGAAACUCUAGGAAUUAGACCUUCAUGGAAGCUGGUCUUAUGUCAUUUAACAAUGGUAGGGCAAGUUAAGGGGUGGUUUUCAUGAAAUAAUUCAGAAAAAUUCCUGUUUUCUUCAGCAGGAAACACGCUGGUCCCAGAAAGAAGAUGUUCAUAUUGCAACCUAGCUAUAUUGUUAAUAUUGUCAUACACUUGAAAGUGUUAUUUUUCAAUUUCCCCAUGAUACUUUUCUUAUACUAAAUAGUAUUCUCCCUACUCACCCUGCACAGGCUUUGGAGUAUAACAAUGAACUACUCACUGUAAACAAUUAAGAAAAUACAGAGAAGUAUAAAGAAGAAAAAUAACCACCCAUGAAUAUGUACAAUUAAGAUUUUGUUAUAGAUUCAUUUUUCAACAAUUAAUUCAUGUGCCUACCCUGUGCCCUCGUGAUUUUUCACUCUGUUAUACAUGUGUGUAUAAUUACAUAUUUAAUUUAAAUUAUAAAACUGGUGUGGCAGUGUUUAAUUUCAUAUCCUCUCUUUUUCAUUUAAGCCAGAGGCUCACAGGAUCAGCUUUUGACAAUAUCAUUUUUAGGACGUGCGUAACAAUUCAUCAGGGAGAUGUCAACAGAAUAUGCUGGUUCAGAAUGAAUGUGUCCUUGUGACUGGUAUUUCUGAUGGACCUGGCUGUGCUUCUGCUCUCAGAAAUCACCCCCUUCUGGGAUCACAAGAAAAAUAGGCCCAUCUUUUAAGACAGAAAUAAUUUUUGCUUCCCUAAGCACUGUUUCUCAAAUUUGUUUUCAGGUUUAAAAUCUAUUGGUGAAUCUUCGUGCCAUAUCGUAUUAUGCAGAAAAAUCUAAUGUGUGCUGGUUAGG